UCCUUAGUGGUCCAGUGGUUAGGACUCUGCACUCUCACUGCUGAGGACCUGGGUUCAAUCCCUGGUCUGGGAA
rnacentral:tRNA from 1 species